rnacentral:rRNA from 1 species
AUUGAACGCUGGCGGCAGGCUUAACACAUGCAAGUCGAGCGGAGAUGAGGUGCUUGCACCUUAUCUUAGCGGCGGACGGGUGAGUAAUGCUUAGGAAUCUGCCUAUUAGUGGGGGACAACAUUCCGAAAGGAAUGCUAAUACCGCAUACGUCCUACGGGAGAAAGCAGGGGAUCUUCGGACCUUGCGCUAAUAGAUGAGCCUAAGUCGGAUUUGCUAGUUGGUGGGGUAAAGGCCUACCAAGGCGACGAUCUGUAGCGGGUCUGAGAGGAUGAUCCGGCACACUGGGACUGAGACACGGCCCAGACUCCUACGGGAGGCAGCAGUGGGGAAUAUUGGACAAUGGGGGGAACCCUGAUCCAGCCAUGCCGCGUGUGUGAAGAAGGCCUUAUGGUUGUAAAGCACUUUAAGCGAGGAGGAGGCUACUGAGACUAAUACUCUUGGAUAGUGGACGUUACUCGCAGAAUAAGCACCGGCUAACUCUGUGCCAGCAGCCGCCGUAA